rnacentral:rRNA from 1 species
UGGGGAAUAUUGGACAAUGGGGGCAACCCUGAUCCAGCAAUGCCGCGUGUGUGAAGAAGGCCUUCGGGUUGUAAAGCACUUUUAUCGGGAACGAAACAUUGUCGGCCAAUACCCGGCAAGACUGACGGUACCCGAGGAAUAAGCACCGGCUAACUCCGUGCCAGCAGCCGCGGUAAUACGGAGGGUGCAAGCGUUAAUCGGAAUUACUGGGCGUAAAGCGUGCGCAGGCGGUUUGUUAAGUCUGCUGUGAAAUCCCCGAGCUAAACUUGGGAAUUGCAGUGGAUACUGGCAAGCUGGAGUACGGUAGAGGAAGGUGGAAUUCCCGGUGUAGCAGUGAAAUGCGUAGAGAUCGGGAGGAACACCAGUGGCGAAGGCGGCCUUCUGGACCAGUACUGACGCUCAUGCACGAAAGCGUGGGGAGCAAACA